rnacentral:rRNA from 1 species
GUCUACGGCCAUGCCACCCUGAACAUGCCCAAUCUCGUCUGAUCUCGAAAGCUAAGCAGAGUCGGGCCUGGUUAGUACUUGGAUGGGAGACCACCUAGGAAGACCGGGUGCUAUAGACA